rnacentral:rRNA from 1 species
CCUACGGGAGGCAGCAGUGGGGGAUAUUGCACAAUGGGGGAAACCCUGAUGCAGCGACGCCGCGUGGGUGAAGAAGCGCCUCGGCGCGUAAAGCCCUGUCAGCAGGGAAGAAAAUGACGGUACCUGAAGAAGAAGCCCCGGCUAACUACGUGCCAGCAGCCGCGGUAAUACGUAGGGGGCAAGCGUUAUCCGGAUUUACUGGGUGUAAAGGGGGCGCAGACGGCGGUGCAAGCCAGGAGUGAACGCCCGGGGCCCAACCCCGGGACUGCUCUUGGAACUGCGUGGCUAGAGUGCAGGAGGGGCAGGUGGAAUUCCUGGUGUAGCGGUGAAAUGCGUAGAUAUCAGGAGGAACACCGGUGGCGAAGGCGGCCUGCUGGACUGCAACUGACGUGGAGGCCCGAAAGCGUGGGGAGCAAACAGGAUUAGAUACCCGGGUAGUC